rnacentral:rRNA from 1 species
GCGAAACCCGGUCCGGCGGCCGUGGUAAUACGGGGGGGGCAAGCGUUAUCCGGAAUGUGUGGGCGUAAAGGGUCCGUAGGCGGACUUAUAAGUCAGGUGUGAAAUCCUGGGGCUUAACGAUGGAACUGCCAUUGAUACUGUAAGUCUUGAGUAUAGUUGAGGGAGCUAGAAUAAGUAGUGUAGCGGUGAAAUGCAUAGAGAUUACUUAGAACACCAGUGGCGAAGGCAGGUUACCAAGAUAUAACUGACGCUGAGGGACGAAAGCGUGGGGAGCGAACAGGAUUAGAUACCCCUGUAGUC